rnacentral:lncRNA from 1 species
CUGUCAUAUUAACUACUCCCUGUAUGAUGUGGUAAAAUAUUAGGUAACUGACUUCCCGACAAAGGAAAAAGCACCAUCUUUAUGACAGCUCAGGAGAAUGGCACGCAUAGGAAGCUGAGCAGUUUCAGGGAGCAGGGUUAUAAUGGAUAGGAAAGGAUGGGGUAUACAAUCAAGGGCACAGACAGCAGAACUGGUUGCUCAAUUCCAUUAUUUUGGAAAGGCUGGAUCUUGGAAGCCAGACACCAUUUUCAGAGUGCUAACCGGUCAAGUACAAUGAUACUCUUUGCCAAUAAGUUGAUUAUUGCUAGUGCAUUCUUUGGCUAUAGCAACACAAUGUAGCUUUAGAACAAUAACACAAUCACUACUCUAUGUUCUUCUUUAAAAAGUUUACUCUGUGUACUGACUUAUUCUGGUUAUGAACUCUUUCUAUGUCCCUUUUCCAUCUGAUAGAAUCUCAAAAUCAUUUUCAUCAGCAUGCUAACAUAUCUCAGACUGAUCUUCAGUUUGAAUAGUAUAUUAUUAAAUAUAACUCAUCUUCCCAAGGUCUCAAUUAUUAAUGUAUCACAAUGUACUCUGUGGUCUUGCUGAAUCAGAAGCUCAAAGACUAUCUGAUAUUUCUCAACUUUGCUCUUGCUGAUUGAAAAGUAGACUAUCUACUUUCAAAGGAUAGAAUAAUAACCGUGAUGAUGACAAUAUGGCUUUUAUUAGCCAAAAUUACUAAAUUCAAUCUUAAGACUUUUCUCAGUUCUGGAACUGUCAAAGUUAUCCUUCUUCUCAGUUGUUCCCAGCAAUGUUUUGACUUUAAAUGGCUUUCACAUUGAAAUAACAACAUAUUGUUUAGAAAUAGCUCCACUCAGCUGAGGGGUAAUGGUAAAACAUAUGUGGGACUUUCUCAUUUGGUGCAGCACUACAUCGAAGAGAGAGCCAGUCUCCAGAGCCAAAUUUCUUAGUUCAACUCAGUGAGAUACAAUUCAGUUCAUCUUUGUGAAUAAAAUACCCGUCUGUGAAUUAGGUAAAGGAUCU